rnacentral:misc_RNA from 1 species
GAUGAAGAACGUAGCGAAAUGCGAUAAGUAAUGCGAAUUGCAGAAUUUCCGUGAGUCAUCGAAUCUUUGAACGCACAUUGCGCCCACUGGUAUUCCGGUGGGCAUGCCUGUUCGAGCGUCAUUAUCCUCCCUCAAACCCCGGGUUUGGUGUUGGACCCAAGUUGUGUGAACAACUGGUCUCAAAGACAAUGACGGCGUCCGUGGGACCCUCGGUGCAACGAGCUUUUAGGAGCAUGCAUCGAGUUGCAAGGACCUUCCGGGCCGGUCUCCUUUACCAUUUUACAAGGUUGACCUCGGAUCAGGUAGGAAUACCCGCUGAACUUAAGCAUAUCAAUAAGCGGAGGA